AACGUAGGAGACAAACGUUAUCCGGAGUUACUGGGCGUAAAGGGCGUGUAGGUGGUUUUUAUAAGUCUGGCGUGAAAUUUCUCGGCUUAACCGAGGCAGGUCGUCGGAUACUAUGAGACUAGAGGACGGUAGAGGCGUGUGGAAUUCCGGGUGUAGUGGUGAAAUGCGUAGAGAUCCGGAGGAACACCAGUGGCGAAGGCGACACGCUGGGCCGUACCUGACACUGAUGCGCGACAGCAUGGGGAGCAAACAGG
rnacentral:rRNA from 1 species